UACGGAGGGUGCAAGCGUUAUCCGGAUUCACUGGGUUUAAAGGGUGCGUAGGUGGCUUUGUAAGUCAGUGGUGAAAUACCGGAGCUCAACUCCGGAACUGCCAUUGAUACUGCUUAGCUUGAAUCAAGUCGAGGUGGAUGGAAUAUUACAUGUAGCGGUGAAAUGCUUAGAUAUGUAAUAGAACACCGAUUGCGAAGGCAGUUCACUAGGCUUGUAUUGACACUGAGGCACGAAAGCGUGGGGAUCAAACAGG
rnacentral:rRNA from 1 species